GUCGACGACCAGAUUCCUCAUUGUUUGCUCUCCACCAUUUGCUUUUAUGCUACAAGUGGACAACCAGGCAAACCCUAAUCCAACAAAUCAAAUCAUGUAUAUAUAAAAGAAGAAGAAGAAGAAGAAGAUGGAUCCUCCUCAUCCAUUGAUGGAAGGCCAUGUGGAAACCGGCAAUUAGGCCAUCCUCCAUCUUACAGCACUCUUUUCGUUUUACAGGCUCCCUAUUUCCAUGAGAGAAUAUAAUGUGAUCAUGCUAGGACUAGUGCAGAUUAUGGGACAAGAAUGGUUGCAGAAAUUAAUAACAAAGUUCCCUAUUCAGGAAUGUAAUUGCCAUUGGUGUCUUCAACCCUUGUUUAAGAAGAAUCGACAGGCAUUAGCACAGGAAAAUGAGAUCACACAGAGACUUGCAUGUCUUUAAUAUAUAAUAAUUCUAAAGAAUAAUUCAAUAAAGGAAGAAA